rnacentral:rRNA from 1 species
AGUAACACGUGGGUAACCUGCCUUAUAGUGGGGGAUAGCCUUUCGAAAGGAAGAUUAAUACCGCAUAAGAUUGUAGUAUCGCAUGAUAUAGCAAUUAAAGGAGCAAUUCGCUAUAAGAUGGACCCGCGCCGCAUUAGCUAGUUGGUGAGGUAAUGGCUCACCAAGGCGACGAUGCGUAGCCGACCUGAGAGGGUGAUCGGCCACAUUGGGACUGAGACACGGCCCAAACUCCUACGGGAGGCAGCAUG